rnacentral:rRNA from 1 species
GUGAGUAGUCAGAGUUUGAUCCUGGCUCAGGAUGAACGCUAGCGACAGGCUUAACACAUGCAAGUCGAGGGGCAGCGAGGGAGUGCUUGCACUUCUGUCGGCGACCGGCGCACGGGUGAGUAACACGUAUGCAACCUGCCUGUAAGCGGGGGAUAACCCGGAGAAAUUCGGACUAAUACCGCAUAAUAUCAUCGAAUCGCAUGUUUUGAUGAUUAAAAAUUUAUUGCUUACAGAUGGGCAUGCGUAUGAUUAGCUAGUUGGCGGGGUAACGGCCCACCAAGGCGACGAUCAUUAGGGGUUCUGAGAGGAAGGUCCCCCACAUUGGAACUGAGACACGGUCCAA